rnacentral:ncRNA from 1 species
GGUCUGACCGGUGAAAAGGGAAACAGGUGUGAAUCCUGUACGAACUCGUCACCGUAUUUCACGAGCAGAAGAAGUAUCCACUGGGAGACCGGGAAGGAUCGGAUGCGUCAGAGUGAUAAGCCGGGAGACCUGCCUUUCGC